CGCUAGAAUGGAGGAGAGGGGGAACAAAAACAUAGGUAAGACAAAGGAAAGUAAAAUGUGAUACGAUAUUAUGGGGGAAAAGAGUUGAGAGGGGUAAUUAGAAAAUGGGUAAUAGUCGACAAAGGGAAGCAGUGAUUCUCGGCUGCCUAUGCUGAAGCAAAGUGUGAAAAUGUUAUAUAUUUUGUAGCUUGAAUUCUAGAUGUUAGUGCUACCCUGGAGGGGAGCAAACAACACUUAUCUAUGACAGCAAUGUGCGCCGACACACUCACAAAGAUGAACCCUGGAAAUCACAUGCACACAAAAGCCUAUAUCUGAAACACACAAACACUGUUACCAAAGCAACCACACAGCAUUUCUCUGAGCAUAACAGAGAAGUUAUUGUGCACUAAAAUGCACUCAAAAAAACCUAACAAUUUCACUUGGGAAAAAUAAUCACCAAAAAAUAAAAGACCCAGCUUUAAUAAACCAUUUUAGCCUUGGGUUACGAAUAAUAAUUGAGCAGUCAUUAAAUAGAUGGAUCCUCGCUCUUGCAUACUUCACAACACAUGCACGCAUAAACAGCCUCCGUGUUUGACAGAUUGAUUUGGUACACAGCUGGACACAGCAGGGUUUUCUUUCUCUCUAAAUUAUCAUUAUGCAUCGACGAACUACUGAGAGGGCGCCGUCAUGGAAUUUGACACGGAUGGAGAGCUCAACGCUCAUUAAGUGCCGUCAAUGCCCAACACCCACACAGCGUUACAGAAUGACAUUCUAUCAGCCUAAUCGUUUCAGAGAGACAUCAUGGGGGUGCUUCAGAACCAGGACAUCUGUAACUGAGUACCCCACUGUGGAAUUGGAGGAAAAUUCAUUUUAACUGUAACUGCAUCCACGGAAAAUCACAUUACCUCUCCCUUUUCACUACCUUUUGCUUCGAGAAAAAGUUAGGGCUCGAGUAGACACAAUAACAUAUCACUCAUAAGCGUGUGGUUGGUUUUGCAGGCCAUGUUUGGGCUAUUACCGUCGGUGCGUGAAUACACCUACGUGUUCUGGUGAAGCGACAACAAAGGCUAAAAGUCUUUGAAGUCUUCAAAGGUUUGAAGAGGAGAUGCAGAAAACCCCUGGUAGAACGACCCACCUUCCUUACCCUCCUGGGCGGAGCCAGGCUUCACAAUCAGAUCAGGAUGGCAGCGGACCCCAGGCACGAUGUCAUCCCCCGGGUGAGCAGGGGGCCGCCGGCUGCAGAAUGUUGUUUGAACAAGGCAGGGCAGAGUCCCAACAGCCCUGCCUCAGAUUGAGGAAAUCUCAGAGCAGGGUUCGAAAACUCUCCAAGGAAGCCGAAACCAGACCGGAUGUUAUUUUAGCAACUGACCCCGAUGUUCCUGACACAAGGCAACAGAAACUAUGCAAUAUGUACUUAUUAUUCCCCUGACGGCCUUGUUUGAGGGUUAUCCAAACAGAUAACACUGAGAGGGUUUGUCUCAUGCUUUGGGCAGGGAAAAACAGAGCGGUGAGUGUUGAAGCAUGCAGCUUGAGCCAGCGUGCGGUGGAGGGUUAACUCUUCUGGAUCAAUUUGGGAACUGCUGCUGCACGUUGGAUGAUGCAGUAUUUUUGUGCCGCAACAGAUAGAUUUUUUUGAUAGUUUAAAUCCACAAAUUUGGAUAAUUUUCCAAUCGAGAUACUUGAGUUAACUACUUUCGUUUUACACUAUUGUAAAUGUUCUCUGAAACGGCAGUAUACUACAUCAUCCCGAGCAGGUAAAUAUUGCAAGCCUACAAACUAACACAAGCCUCAGUUCCUCACGUUCGGUUCUUUCUUUUCUGAUAUUUUGUCACCAUGUCUUGCAAACUGGUAAUGGUGGAGCGACAAAUGAUGAAAGGAAUGAAAAGCAUGUUAAAAUCAACAAUUCAAUUUCACAAGAACCAAAAAUAAACAUGAAUGAUGAGAAAGGAUGAAAAAAUCAAACCCUGUGACAAACAAUAUUUUCAAUAGUAAGAAAUAUUAACUGACGCUGACAAUGGACAAGACAGCAAUUUUCUAACAACCAUCAUG